UACCAGAACACAUUAGAAAGCCUGUAUUAU
rnacentral:piRNA from 1 species